rnacentral:rRNA from 1 species
UAGGGAAUCUUCGGCAAUGGGGGCAACCCUGACCGAGCAACGCCGCGUGAGUGAAGAAGGUUUUCGGAUCGUAAAGCUCUGUUGUAAGAGAAGAACGUGUGUGAGAGUGGAAAGUUCACACAGUGACGGUAACUUACCAGAAAGGGACGGCUAACUACGCGCCAGCAGCCGCGGUAAUACGUAGGUCCCGAGCGUUGUCCGGAUUUAUUGGGCGUAAAGCGAGCGCAGGCGGUUUAAUAAGUCUGAAGUUAAAGGCAGUGGCUUAACCAUUGUUCGCUUUGGAAACUGUUAAACUUGAGUGCAGAAGGGGAGAGUGGAAUUCCAUGUGUAGCGGUGAAAUGCGUAGAUAUAUGGAGGAACACCGGUGGCGAAAGCGGCUCUCUGGUCUGUAACUGACGCUGAGGCUCGAAAGCGUGGGGAGCAAACAGG